rnacentral:rRNA from 1 species
UAUAGAGGGUGCAAGCGUUGUUCGGAAUUAUUGGGCGUAAAGCGCGUGUAGGCGGCUUUGCAAGUCGGGUGUGAAAGCCCUCAGCUCAACUGAGGAAGUGCGCCCGAAACUGCAGAGCUUGAGUACCGGAGAGGAUGGUGGAAUUCCCCAAGUAGAGGUGAAAUUCGUAGAUAUGGGGAGGAACACCGGUGGCGAAGGCGACCAUCUGGACGGAUACUGACGCUGAGACGCGAAAGCGUGGGUAGCAAACAGG